rnacentral:tRNA from 1 species
UCUCUGGUAGUCCAGUGGUUAGAACUUGGUGCUCCCAUUCCAGGGGCCCAGGUUCAAUCUCUGGUCAGGGAA